GGACAGUAGACUUUACCUAGU
rnacentral:misc_RNA from 1 species